GAUCCUGGCUCAGGAUGAACGCUAGCUACAGGCUUAACACAUGCAAGUCGAGGGGGCAGCAUUUUAGUUUGCUUGCAAACUGAAGAUGGCGACCGGCGCACGGGUGAGUAACACGUAUCCAACCUGCCGAUAACUCCGGGAUAGCCUUUCGAAAGAAAGAUUAAUACCGGAUAGCAUACGAAUAUCGCAUGAUAUUUUUAUUAAAGAAUUUCGGUUAUCGAUGGGGAUGCGUUCCAUUAGUUUGG
rnacentral:rRNA from 1 species